rnacentral:rRNA from 1 species
CGGAAGGAUAAUUAUUGAAAAUAAACCUGAUGAGUUGCUGCUGGUUCUCUAGGGAGCAUUGUGCACACUCGUCGUUUUUAUAUCUCCACCUGUGCACCUUUUGUAGACCUGAAUAAUCCUUCUGACUGCGCAAGUCAGGUUUUGAGGAAUUGACUUUUCAGUCUUUCCUUGCAAUUUCAGGCCUAUGUUUCUUCAUAUACUCCUUAAUGUAUGUUAUAGAAUGUAACAGGCCCUGUGCCUAUAAUCUAUACAACUUUCAGCAACGGAUCUCUUGGCUCUCGCAUCGAUGAAGAACGCAGCGAAAUGCGAUAAGUAAUGUGAAUUGCAGAAUUCAGUGAAUCAUCGAAUCUUUGAACGCACCUUGCGCUCCUUGGUAUUCCGAGGAGCAUGCCUGUUUGAGUGUCAUUAAUAUAUCAACCUCUUCAGCUUUUGCUUGUCGAGAUGGUUGGAUGUGGGGGGUGUUUUGCUGGCCUUUUUUGAGGUCAGCUCCCCUGAAAUGCAUUAGCGGAACAAUUUGUCGACUCCGUUCAUUGGUGUGAUAACUAUCUACGCUAUUGAUGGGUGAAGGCAGAGUUCAGCUCCUAACAGUCCAUUGACUUGGACAACUUUUUUAUUUAAUGUGACCUCAAAUCAGGUAGGACUACCCGCUGAACUUAA